rfam:Arabis alpina cultivar Pajares Aa.chr1_contig_3371, whole genome shotgun sequence.
ACGACCUUACUUGAACAGGAUCUGUUCUAUAGGCUCGUACCUCUGUAUCCUUGAUUUCUAAGGAGACAGGCCCUUAACCCUGGUUGAUGAGCCAUGACCGUGUGAUCAGAGCGUGAUUAACGGCCACGAUCAGUCUCUUGACUGGUCCGGUGCUGUAGAGGAUCGUUACUCGGCUUGGUCUAAUCCUUGCCGGGGUGGUCACACGGCGGUCUGACAGGUU